rnacentral:sRNA from 1 species
GCCAGGAGUGGUGGCACACACCUGUUAUCCCAUUGACUCAGGAGGCUGAGGCAGGAGGAUCACAAGUUCAAAGUUAGCCUCCAAACUUUGCAAGAUCUUGUCUCAA